rnacentral:tRNA from 1 species
GAUUAAAUGGCUGAAUUUUAGGUCAUAGACUGUAAAUCUAUUUAUGAGGAUUUAUCCUCUUUAAUCA